UACGAAGGGGGCUAGCGUUGCUCGGAAUCACUGGGCGUAAAGCGCACGUAGGCGGAUUGUUAAGUCAGGGGUGAAAUCCUUGAGCUCAACUCCAGAACUGCCUUUGAUACUGGCGAUCUCGAGUCCGGGAGAGGUGAGUGGAACUGCGAGUGUAGAGGUGAAAUUCGUAGAUAUUCGCAAGAACACCAGUGGCGAAGGCGGCUCACUGGCCCGGUACUGACGCUGAGGUGCGAAAGCGUGGGGAGCAAACAGG
rnacentral:rRNA from 1 species